rnacentral:rRNA from 1 species
GACGAACGCUGGCGGCGUGCUUAACACAUGCAAGUCGAGCGACGAAGCACCUUCGGGUGUGAAUUAGCGGCGAACGGGUGAGGAACACGUGAGAAAUCUGCCUUCAACACUGGGAUAACUCCGGGAAACCGGGGCUAAUACCGGAUAUGAAACCUGCGGGCAUCCGCGGGUUUGGAAAGUUUUUCGGUUGAAGGUGAUCUCGCGGCCUAUCAGCUUGUUGGUGAGGUAAUGGCUCACCAAGGCGACGACGGGUAGCCGGCCUGAGAGGGCGACCGGCCACACUGGGACUGAGACACGGCCCAGACUCCUACGGGAGGCAGCAGUGGGGAAUAUUGGGCAAUGGAGGAAACUCUGACCCAGCGACGCCGCGUGCGGGAUGAAGGCCUUCGGGUUGUAAACCGCUUUCAGCAGGGAAGAAGCGAAAGUGACGGUACCUGCAGAAGAAGCACCGGCUAACUAUGUGCCAGCCGCCGACGUAA